UUGAGUUUUCUGUCAUUCCUAUUCCUAGUCUUAUUUUGGAACUGCUCAUUCAGAAACUCUUUUAAGAAUUGCUAGCUGGAAGUGCCUUUGGAGGCCAUUCCCGUCAUUCCUGCUGCCAGGGCUGUGUUGAGGCCUAAAUCUUCCCAAGAUGAUGGGUAGUUAAUGUCUAAAAAUGUCUGUAAAAGGGAUUUUAUAAUGAGGACCACUGGCCAAGGAUCAGGAGACCUUGGCUCCACUCCCUUCUGAGUGCUAUCAUUUAUUUAACACUUUGGUGACCUUACCUGGCACAGAGGGACACUGUCUUUAAUAUGGGAUGUCCAUGAGGCUCAAACAGACGUGUAAAUAAGCAAUUUGGAGAGUGCCAAGCUUCUCUACCAACUGAAGAAAGCACUCUUGCUGUGGGUCUGGCUGUUUCUGUGGCUGGAUGCAGUUAGCCUGCCUCAGCAUUUACAGGUGCUCCUUUUCAUGGACCAGCUUUCGGGUGUGCAUCUCUGUGGCCUAAUGAACAAAUCCUCACCAAUGAUGAGACACCCUGCUCAGAUCCAUUCAGCCAUGGCAGCUGACAGGGCUUAGUGAUGGCUAAGUCCUGAUGGUUAGUCUAGUUUUUAACUAAAGCACUUCUUCCCAUUGCCCUGGUUGCAAGACAGUGGCCAGACCUCUGACACUCUCUCUCCACCCCAUGUCCUGCUUCGUCACAGACCACAAUUUCCAAGUGGACUAACCAUCCAACAUGAUUCCUGACCCCCAGCAUCACAGUUCCCGGACCUGCUAAUGUUCCUUACCUUUUCCCAUUGGCUCUUGCCACACUGCAGGAUAGCCCCUCUCUGAAAUGUUAGCCUCCUGAAUUCUACCAGAGGCCUUGACCUCCUGCUUUCUAGAUAUUUUCAGUCUGCUCUCCACUCCUGCUCUUGCACUUCAACAAAGACUUUCUGUUCCGAGAGGCUUCAGUUGAUUCUACAGUCUGGCCGCAUCAGAAUCAUCUGAACAGCCAACAAUUUUCUUAAACCCUGUAUUAGUUAGGAUAAUGCUAGAUGCUAUAACAAACAAAUCCCCAAAUGUAUAUUGGCUCAGACAAUAUAGCUGAUUUCUUGUUCACAAACAACUCACGUGGGUGUUCCUGAUCAGUGGUGUGUGUCCUCCAAGUGAUGAUUUAGGGACCGGGAUCCUUCCACCUUGUGGCUCUGCCAUCUCCAACAUGUGGUUUCCAAGGGGGCCUUAAACUAGAAGAGGAAAAGAAGGGUGGAGAAGGCACAUCUGCUUCUUAACUAUUUGGGGCUGGAAAAUACAUGUCAUCCCUGAUCAACAUUCCAUUGGCAAGAACGUGUCACUUGACUCCUCUCAGAUGUAACAGAUGUGAGAGGAGGGGUAUAUGCUGGGAAAUGUAGCCUCUGCUGGGACGCCCCUUCCUAGCCUCAACUCUGUUCUAUGGCAGGGCAAGGGAUACACUUUUUUUUUUUUGGUGAACAGUUAGCUGUCUCUGCUACACACUCAAAAGGAAAUGAACCUUCUGCCACAAUUGUCUUGUAAGACUGCAGCCCAAGUACUACAGGCCGACCAACCUUCCUGCCUUCUAUGUCCUGGAGAAGACCCUGAGGAGGACAGUGUCUGGGACAGUGCCCAUCAUACAGUAGGUGCUCAGUGAAUGAAUGAAGAUGGUGGAAAGGAACCCGUUGAAAGUAUUUCUCAGCUCUAAAGAUGGAAGUGAAGCUGUAACACCUUAAUAGUAAUGCAAAUAAUUCCUGUUCACAGUUACACAGAUUGUGUCUAGUGGAAGGCAACUGACUAUUGCUGUGUGGAUUCUGACCAAUUUUGCAUCCAUUUCUGAAAUGAUUUCAGCAUUCCUUAUCUGACUAUCAUGUGUGAUAGUUUUGAGUUCUCCUUUGAAUUGGUUGUAACGUUUUAGUGGUUCUCUCGUUAAUUAAUGAGUUAAACUAAAUCUUUGACACAUAUUCAUUUUAUAUCUUGGGACAGACAUGAUUAUAUCCUCUUUUAAAAUUUAUUGUUAAAUACAGACAAAUCUUGUGUGAUCCCAUACUCCAGAAAUAUUAUUGAUGCAGAGAAAAAAAUUUAGGAUACACAGGAAACUGUUAAGUGUUCACCUGUGGGGAAGAGGGAGGGAGGAGGUACUUCCUUUUCAUUUUAUAUCUUUUUGUACUAUUUUAAUUUUUACACUAUGUUAAAAGGAUUUCAGUGGAGGUUG